UACGUAGGGAGCAAGCGUUGUCCGGAAUCAUUGGGCGUAAAGCGCGCGUAGGUGGCCUCAUAAGUCCGCUGUGAAAGUCACAGGCUCAACCUGUGAAAGCGGAUGGAUACUGCUGGGCUAGAGUCCGGAAGAGGCGAGUGGAAUUCCUGGUGUAGCGGUGGAAUGCGCAGAUAUCAGGAGGAACACCAACGGCGAAGGCAGCUCGCUGGGACGGUACUGACACUAAGGCGCGAAAGCGUGGGGAGCGAACAGG
rnacentral:rRNA from 1 species